AACCCUAAGUAAUUUAUUUAGGGCAAUUUCUGCUCAAUGUUUACUAAAUAGCCGCAGUACUUUGACUGUGCAAAGGUAGCAUAAUAAUUUGGCUUUUAAUUGGGGUCUGGUAUGAAUGAAAAAAUGGGGAAAUACUGUAUCAAUCAUGAUUCUUCAAUUUACUUAAAAGGUGAAAAUUCCUUUAAUUAUAUAACAGACGAGAAGACCCUUGAAAUUUAUUAUAAAAUUUUGUUGGGGCGACAGAGUAGCAAGGAAACCUACUUUUAGAAUAUGGCUUACUAUUUAAGGACAAAUUAAAUUACUCGAGGGAUAACAGCAUAAUUAUUUAAAUAGUUUGUGACCUCGAUGUUGGAUUAGGAACAUCUAACCCAGAAGGUGAAGAUUAGCGCUCUGUUCGAGCAAUUUUUCCUACGUGAUCUGAG
rnacentral:rRNA from 1 species